rnacentral:lncRNA from 1 species
GGUCUUCAUGCAUUAAUCAAAGAGUACAAUGGUAGAGAUAUCCAGGAACAUAGUGCACAGAGCUACUGCAAACGAAGACAACAUCAUGUGAUACAUACCUCAUCAGAUAUAAAUCAGCAGUGGAGUCAUCAUCAAAUAGCCUAAAGCAGGCCACACUUCAUCAGCACAAAAUUUUCAACAUGAUGACCAAGAUGUUUCACCAUCUAGUAGC